CUGAUUCAGCGGCGGACGGGUGAGUAAUGCCUAGGAAUCUGCCUGGUAGUGGGGGACAACGUUUCGAAAGGAACGCUAAUACCGCAUACGUCCUACGGGAGAAAGCAGGGGACCUUCGGGCCUUGCGCUAUCAGAUGAGCCUAGGUCGGAUUAGCUAGUUGGUGAGGUAAUGGCUCACCAAGGCGACGAUCCGUAACUGGUCUGAGAGGAUGAUCAGUCACACUGGAACUGAGACACGGUCCAGACUCCUACGGGAGGCAGCAGUGGGGAAUAUUGGACAAUGGGCGAAAGCCUGAUCCAGCCAUGCCGCGUGUGUGAAGAAGGUCUUCGGAUUGUAAAGCACUUUAAG
rnacentral:rRNA from 1 species